GUUCGAGACGCUGAUCUUCCCCAGGCUAAGUUGCUUCGACAUAAUCGAGCUGAUUAGUGGCUCAAUUUGAUUGAUUUGUGGGAGUAUUUGGAGGAGACUUGUAGCCAAAGUUAGGGUUUUGCGAGGAGAGAGUUAAGAGAGAGAGAGAUUCCGGCAGCUGAUUUUGAAAGGGUUUUAGAGAGGGGGGGAGGGUUUUACAGAGAAAUUCUCGUGCGGGAUUCGGGGAUUGUACUGGAAACGUGUAAUUGCACGAAUAUUCCUU